AGGGAAAGGGGCGGAGCUCCGGCAACUUGAAAUGCCCCUUUGAAGCGCGCCCCAGCCUCUCCCGCACCCGCGCGGCGGCGGGCAUUAACCUAAAUUAUCCAACCAGGAAGCCAAGAGCCAAGGGGAGAUGCACGGGGAGAUCUCUCCUCCUCCUCCUCUCCAGAAACCGUUAGAUUGCAUGUUUCACGUUUCAUCCCAUCAGAGGUGAGCUCUGUAAUUUUCCAAUUCCCACUCCCCCCCACUUUCUCCCGCCCCUCCCCAACGGGAGGUGGGGGGUGGGAGAAAGAGAAGCAACACGCUUGUCAACACGAGUUUGAUGGAAAACACGCUCUAAAAUUGACCCAGGGACAAGCGGUUGGUGCAAGACACGAAGGGCCCAAAAAUUUUUAAUUUUCUUUAAGUAAGGAAAAAGUAGCGCGCGAAGCAACAGCGCUCCUGUUUUCCUAAGUGUCACUUAUGACUUACUUGCAAAAUCAAAACCCCGUUUCAAAAGCGAGGUGGAAGGAUCGGAGGGGCGGGGAUAACAUGCUUUCAUUUGUACACUCCAGUCCUUUGAAGAUAGUAAACAAUUGCAGAGAGCGAGUUGGGGGGGGGAGAGGCUGGAAGUUGCAUAUUUGUUUAUUAACGCUGCUCGGAGUGGGAAGGGAAGCGUCAUAAUUACCGCUCCUUAGAGCGCUUUGUUGUGCGAAGGGCUGGGAUGAAACGCGAAGCGCACGGAGAAGAAAGAAGGGGAUAGAACUACAGAUAUAUAUAUAGCAUUUCCGGGAAAUAAUAGGCAUUUAUGGAUCAAAGAGCCCAAGGUACUUACAUUUAAUGCAGUUGAGAAAUAACAUAUGUUGUGGGAAGGGAUUCUCAAAGCAAGAAAGCUGGCGGGGUAGACAUAUAGAAGGGGGCAGAUGUUCGCCAAUAAACUGCUGCAGCGAGUGUCUCUCCCCCACCCUCCCGAUAUUCCACCCUUCCUUUACACCGAGGCGUUUUCAGAAGUACAGAACCUCCGAUUUUAAUGUGUGCCUGUCUCUGUCUUGGGGCUUUCGCCUGUAUUUUGACGGCUCCUCUGUUUGUCUCGUGUCCCUAUUAUUAUUAUUGCCGCUGGGGGGGGCGGCGGGGGGAAAGGAAUUACCGAGCGCUGCUUUGAACUAGAGGUGAAGUAACUUUGCAAACGUUUCCUAAGCGGAGCGAAGUCUACACAGACGGCGCUGUGCCAUCAACAGGUGGCACCGCCGCCUGAUCCGGGCUGAGAUCUCUUUGGAAGGAGCGGCGCCGUGUUUACUUGGGAGUCAACCUGCGCAGAAUCGGACUAGAAGGAAGCCUGCGUGUUCUAUGUUACUCUGGCCCUUGCGCUGCCAGGCUCAAACGGGGGUGAAGGAUCUGGCGUACGAUGCGCUCAAAACUAAGGGUCUGGCGGGUGAGCCCUUGCUGGUGCUCAGCGGAAGGCUGCGCACGUGCUUACAUCUCGCUCGCCCCAUUGAUGCGACGGGGAUGGCAAGGGGCCUUGCGCUUCGCUUGGAGUGGGGGUGAAACCGCUCGGAGCAGUGCCAACCAAGCCCAAAGCCUUCUCUUUCACAAGUCUGAAAGGAGAAUCAAUACUUCCCUUAGGGCCCAAUUGUUUAUGGCUAUUAAAAGCGCCACAAGCAGGCUGCGUAGUAAAGAGCUUGCUCUCUGCUAAACAAUUUUGGGACCUACUGAGAGGGAGACUCCGCUGGAAAAAAAAAGCAUUUUCCUGAAGCUGGAUGACACACAUUUUAAAAAGCAAAAUGUGUGGCUGAAGAUGAAUUUGUAAAGUUUUGUUUUUUAAAAACUUCCAUCUCUAGGAAACAUUAGGAAAAUAAAGCCAGGAGCCACCCCCCAGGCUUCCCAUUUUCAGCUAAGGUUGAAAUCAUUGAGAGAUGCUUGAAAGGUUGUUUUUCCUUAUUGGCAUAAUACUGUACUACUGUUCAAGCAGUGGUUGCAAUGUCUUGGCUGGAGGCUGGUUCACUUCACCUGAAAGCAUCUAGAUUGCAUGCUUUCUCAUAUUGAGAACUCAGACUCAUACCAGCAUUUAACAUCCUUUUCCUGGUGGGGAGUAUGUCCAAUACCACAUAAUGUCACCAUGGGUGAUUUCAGACUCAUGUAUAAAUUUCAUGUAUGUAUACUUUCCCAAUUUUUGAAAUCCCCCCCCCUUGGGGAGCAGAACAUAUAUAAAGUAUUGGGUUGUACCAUGUGCCAUUUGAAAAUGCACUGAUUCCAACUUAUUCCUAAAGUUUGGGCCUACUUCCCAUCAUUCAAAAUAUGGUACAACAGGGCUGGCUGAAUAACUAUGGUGACCCAUAUGCAUUUAUUCAGAAGUAAAAUCUAUUGUUUUGAGUGGGACUUACUCCCAGGUAAGUGAGUUUAGGAUCUCAGCCUAAACCACCCCUAUGUGACUCCUGGCUGAAUAUAUUGUGAACUGAUGCCAUUGAAAAGCACUGCAUUUGAGAUGAUAUGAAAGAUCUGCCUGUGUUGCUUGAUAUGUAUGUGAAGACUCAUUCACACAUGCAAAGCACCACUUGAGGCUGCAUGCAGUUAUUUUGUGAGGAAUAUGCAAAUAUGAACCAGGCCUGUGUGCCUGGUUCAUACCUGCAUGUUCCUCAGUCUGCCUGUGUCUGCUUUGCUGCAUGGGUUGUGCGCACAUUUGAGAUUCUGUGGCUAACUACAGCUUCCCCGGAUAACAAAUUUCUGUUAGCACAAAUGAAAAGUGCACAUACGUACAUUUGCAUAUGGCUUUUCCUACAUGGAAGUCAUACUUGUAUAGGAAAUAGACAUGUGUUCUUUAUACUAAGUUGUAUUGAAAUCAAUGUGUCAUGCUGAUAAAUUGGCUUAGGAGUACAAAAGAUCUUAAGCAGCAACUGCAGUCUGAUUACGGACCCAUUUUCUAUGUGUAUUAUUUUAUAUGUAUGUUCCAUAAUCUUCACUUAAGGACAAAUAAUUGAUUAAAAUAUCUUGGAGAGGAGAAGAGUGGUCCUUUUAAAGUACGUGAGUACCAAUAGCAAUAAAGUAUUUAAAUCCAUGGGUGUUUUGUAGACGUUAAAUUAUUUUGGCUGCUUUCUUUACACCUUUGCAUGACAGCAAGUCCAGUGGAAUUGAGAACCUGCAAUCAGUUUGUAUAAGCCUCACCGAUUUCACUAUGGGAGGUCUACAGUGUUGAGACAAUCAUUCUGACCUACCUUACAGGGUUACUGUAAAAGUUAAUGGCGUACAGCUCAGUCAUAUAUAUGUUUACUCUAAGCCCUCCUGUGUUCAGGGGGACUUACUUCUGAGUCACAGCCACAGAUUGCAGCCACAGGAUUUGAAAUGUUGUGAAGGCUGUCCAAGUUCUACACAAGUACAAGGUAUUAACUUGUCCUACACAAUACUGAAAAUCAGUGGCAGUUAAAAUUUACAUCCUGGUCUGUUCAAUGAAUGGAAACACCAGUGUUUGUAACAAGCUUUAGAAAGGAAUAUUAAAUAACAAAUAUUUAAACAUGUGACAGGUGUCUCAAGACAGACACGUGGUGUGAAGUGGGCACCUUCGCUUUUCAGGUUAAUUAAUAAAAGGUGUGUUCUUAAAACAUGGCCUGCUGUUUCUAAGACACCUCUUUUAAAACUUUUUUUAAACUGAAGAAAUGGGUCAUAAUUUCAAGGCUGGAAUCUUGGGUAUCAAAAGCACAAGGAAAAGCCGAACAAGCUUGCUUUUGCAAUGACAAGACUGUUAACUAUAAUAGCCGAGCCUGCCUUCAUAAAAUUAAGACUCUGUAUUUGCCUCUUUCUGAUUCCAGUGCAACCAUUGGAAAGAAAAGAUGUAUUUGCCUCAAGGAGUCUACCUGAACAAAUAAAUAAAUAAAUAAAUGCUAAAGUAUGACUAAAGGCGUGAAUUUUUGUUGAUUGUGGUUGCACAUAUGUUGUUGAACACCUAUGAGGAAGCAAGGACACUUUAACACAACUCAUUCCGAAAUAUGCAUAUAAAUAGGAUUGCCGGGUACAAUCCUGAGCAUCGUUCCUUGCAAAUAAGUGCCGCAGAAAUAAAUGGUUCUUACACAGGUUCGGGCACAUCAGAGUAUCCUGCAGUUGGUGUGAAAGGCUUCUCUCGCGCGUAACCACUGGUGCUUUUUUAAUCUGCGCAAAGUGGACACACAUGAAUUGCGAGUCCCGAGCCCAGUAACUCUUUCCCUUCCAGGGGCGACUUCUCUUCUCGCUUCACCUUCCUGUUCUCGGAGUGAGUCGAGUAACUUUGGUCUCCAGAGUCCUGAAGCUGCCAAGGGAAUAUUAAACACAACCAAGAAAUGGAGGAAGAGCCCCAACAAAGCUCUCUUGAAGUUUCAUGCGUGGAGUCUUUACUCCUCAGCAAACUACUGGAUCGGGUGUGGGAGGGUCGGCCUUGGACACACGGGACCUAAACGCCAUUCCCACGACCUUUUGUCCACGGACUUCCAAAACUGGUCCAGUCUCGACGCAACUGUGCGCGUUUAGGACUAAGAGGCUAACGCAGCGCAAAACCCACCAAUGACAUUGCGUGGCUAUGCGGCGCCCCUUAAAACAUGGCGAGGCUCAUUUAUUAUUAUCAUUAUAAUUAUUGUUACCCACCGGCCCCUUCAAAAUAGGGUUCCCCUUCCCUGCUCUCUCCCUCCUCAGCAGGCGCAUCCCUCGCGCGUCCGCCUUACUCCCAAGUAGCCCAAGUGAGAAGGGAACUUUCUCCGUGUGUGUCAAGUAGGAGACUUAUGGUGUUGAAAUCAAUAAGACUGUUUAAAAUUCAAAGACCUGCAAAUCGUUCUGUUUGUCCUUUGAUAGGGCCUCUGCUGAUUAAAAUGCGACCAAGAAAGCUUAAUUGCUGCACUAAUUAAGAAGUCUUUAAUUUCUUUCCUGGAAUAUUGUUUGAAGCAGGGUUUCUCUUCUAUUCCUCGCAGCUUGUUCAGGGCAAAGUCUCUCCCCCCUCCCUCUCUCUCUCCCCACCCUCCAUCACUCCCUCUGACCCUUUCGAUGAAUAAACAAUGCGCACUGGAAACAGUCAGAUGAAUAGAUAGUGAUCCUAAUUUAUUACUUUCCAAAACACCUGCUCCAGAGUGCGCUGCUUUACGAAGCCCGGGGCCGCGGAGCGACGCGUAAGAUGCGCAUUAGACGACGCGCGUUAAGUGCUCUAACCGCACCUGAGUGACAGCAGAUAAACGGGGGCGCAAUUUCCUCCUGUCUCUCUCUUCUCCACCCCCAGCCCUCCUCACGCCUCUCCAACUUCUUCCUUUCUUUCCUCCUCUGUCGUUAGCGGGAAAGAAAUAUUUUAGCUCAUCAGACGGACGAAAAAAUCCUUAGCUUUAGGAAAGGAAAGGAGGAAGACCCAAGCAAGUGUUGGGGGAGAUGGGUCCCCAUCUUAAAUUCAUUACCAUAUACUUUCUUCUGUUUAUUUCGACUCCCCUCCCCACCGCUGCUUUCCUGAGAAAUACAAUGACCCCAUUAUGCUUCGCCCCCUUCCUCCUGCCUAUUGACCGAUCUUUACCCAGCCAUUUCUCAAAACUGAGGGGACGGACUCAUGAAUCUUGCCCUGUGAUCAAUAGCCCUUAAAAAGAGAGCGGAUGUAUUUAUUCUGCGUUCCCAGCGUGCGCCUGCGUGAGUCAGAGAGUGCGAGGUUAGGAAGGAAAGAGGCGAUGCAACGCGAACCACCGUUUACUCCAGAGUAGCCUCAGUGAGGUAGACCCCCUGCACCGGGCAAAGUGCAGGACAAAGUUGGCAUGCAAGUUUCCGGGUUGUCCCACAAGUGGGCACGAUCCAGCCAAAGCAACUUGCCUUUCCCAAAUGCUGCUUCUCUGUAUUAUCAGGGAUUCUGCGGGAGGGGCUGGAUCGUGUCCCAUCUUGAGAAAUGGGAGUGUCUGAGCGGGCGGUUUAAACGACUUAACGAGAUACCCUGUGGAUUGUGAAUUAAUUGUAGUACUUUUAUUUUUUAAAUUGUAAUUUAAAAAGAUAGGCGCAUGUUAUUGUUUUUUUAUUUUCUUUGCUUCUAAUAUGUUGAAUUCCUGCCUUGCAGGGGGUUGGACUAGAUGACCACGGGAGCCCCCUCCAACUGCACAAUUCUGUGAUCCUGUGCGCUGCCUUUGGAGACCCUGACUCUGCGGAGGCGGCAGCCGCUGGGCUUCGAACUUCUAACACGGCGGUGGUGAACCAAGCCCCGCCUUCCCCUUCUAUAAAUACACCGAGGCUUCUCGUCGCUGACAGGACGACUAGAUAACACGCUUAAUACAAAUACAAAAGGGC